rnacentral:rRNA from 1 species
AGCGAACGCUGGCGGCAGGCUUAACACAUGCAAGUCGAGCGGGCACUUCGGUGUCAGCGGCAGACGGGUGAGUAACACGUGGGAACGUACCCUUUUGUUCGGAAUAACGCUGGGAAACUAGCGCUAAUACCGGAUACGCCCUUUUGGGGAAAGGCUUGCUGCCGCAGGAUCGGCCCGCGUCUGAUUAGCUAGUUGGUGGGGUAAUGGCCUACCAUGGCGACGAUCAGUAGCUGGUCUGAGAGGAUGAUCAGCCACACUGGGAGUGAGACACGGCCCAGACUCGUACGGGAGGCAGCAGUGGGGAAUAUUGGACAAUGGGCGCAAGCAUGAUCAAGCCAUGCCGCGUGAGUGAUGAAGGCCUUAGGGUUGUAAAGCUCUUUUGUCCGGGACGAUAAUGACGGUACCGGAAGAAUAAGCCCCGGCUAACUUCGUG